GCCUCAGGAGGGCCCAGGCUGCUGGGCAGUGUGCAUGUGUUUUAUUAGUGUUGUGCGGUAUUCGGCGUGGUCCUUUGAACUCGCCGCCUGAGCUUAUUUCGUGAACGGCUUCUUCUGUUCCUCGGGGUACCGGACUUACUGUGCUCCUAGCUUCACCCAGUUUCCCGAUGGUGCUUUGAGCUGAGCAACUUUCCUCCACUGGGCCCUUACCCCCAAUAUGCCUCCUCACCUGAGGUUCAGAGCAAUGGAUUUGGCUGUUUAUGGACUGCGAUCUCUUAAAACACGAUCGCUAUAUAAACUUUUCCUGCUAUCUUUAUUGUAGGCCUUGGAUUCGUGGUGACUGGAAGGAUAUUUUAAGACAACUGAAAGUCUCUGGCUGGAGAUACUCUGCUGGGACUGAAACUCUUGAUUGAGACUCAGAUCCUCCAGACCCUAGAGAACCUCGGUGGUCCUGAGUCAGGUUAUCCCUUCUCUCUGGGAACCCUUCUUCAGAGACAUCCCUUCUUCUGCGAUAACCUCUAUCUCUGGACCAACCAAACGUCGUGGGACCUCACUCAAGUCUCAAAUCAGUGGGAACUUGAAUUCACAUUUAAGGGAAGAACUGAGAACCUGUGUUGCUUCUUCAAGACCAAAUCUGCCAACCACUUCAGUGGGAAGGACAUGGAUCAAGGGCAAGUAAAACAUCACAAAACAUCCUAUUAUUUUAAAGGAAACAUUGCAAAGAACCACCCUCUCCCUGUUACUUGGAUAAGACCUCCUUGUUUACCUACAGACGCAGACCCUCCAAAUUCCCAUUCUUUGCCUCCCAAGUGAUUAGAUAAACUGUACUCGCUGACAAAUCAGGACAAUAUACCUGUUCCCUUGAUUUGACUAAAGUUAGUUAAGUUUUUCUGCUUACCCCAGGCCCUUUAAUUUUGACCCAUCCUUGGUUGAGCCAACACACAAUGACUCUUUAAUGGCUCGUUUCUUAGGGGGAAAAAUUCACUGUCCAAUCCCCAUACUAUUUCAUUCCAGUUCUCCCCUCCUAGUUCUUUCCAUCCUUGUUCAUUUCUCCUUACAAAAUAAUAGUUAACAAUUUAAAAUUUAAUUAAAAAAGGAUAGAGAACUGUGUCCUUAAAGGAACAGGAGAUUAGGAUACAGACAUGCAUGUGCAUAGAAGAGUGACCAUGUUUGAGCACAGUUGGAAACUGGACAUCUGCAAGCCAUGAAAAGAGGACUCAGAAAAAAAAAAAAAAACAAACCUACCAACAUCUGGAUCUCUGUCUCCCAGAACUGUGAGCAAAUAAAAUUCUGUUG